GAAUUAAAUGGCCGCAGUAUUUUGACUGUGCAAAGGUAGCAUAAUUAUUAGUUUUUUAAUUGAAAGCUUGUAUGAAGGGUUGGACGAGAUAAAAUCUGUCUUUAUUUAAAUUAUUAUAGAAUUUAACUUUUAAGUCAAAAGGCUUAAAUGUAUGUAAAAGACGAGAAGACCCUAUAGAUCUUUAUUUAACUAAUAUUUUGAUAAUUUAGGAUUAUUUUAGUUUAAAGUUUUAGUUAAAUUUUAUUGGGGUAAUAUAAAGAUUAAAUAAAUUCUUUUUAUUUAUUACAUUGAUUUAUGAAUAUAUGAUCCGAUAUUAUUGAUUAUAAGAUUAAGUUACCUUAGGGAUAACAGCGUAAUUUUUUUGGAGAGCUCAUAUCGAUAAAAAAGUUUGCGACCUCGAUGUUGGAUUAAAAAUUAGCUUGGGUGCAGAAGCUCAAGAUUUUGGUCUGUUCGACCAUUAAAUUUUUACAUGAUCUGAGUUCAGACCGGCGUAAGCCAGGUCGGUUUCUAUCUUUACUUAUCUAAAAUAUUUUAGUACGAAAGGACCAAAUAUUUAAUAUAAUUAUAUUUAUUUUUUGAAUAAUAUU
rnacentral:rRNA from 1 species